GUGGAUGAGGCAUGCAAGUCGAACGGAUUUUAGUUUCGGCUAGAAUUAGUGGCGGAAGGGUUAGUAAUGCAUAGAUAAUCUACCUUCAACUUAGGAAUAACGAUUGGAAACGAUCGCUAAUACCAAAUGUGGUAAUCUUAGGCAUCUAAGAAUUAUUAAAGCGGGGGAUCUUCGGACCUUGCGGCUGUAGAAGAGUUUAUGUGAUAUCAGCUAGUUGGUAGGGUAACGGCCUACCAAGGCUAUGACGUCUAGGCGGAUUGAGAGAUUG
rnacentral:rRNA from 1 species